UGUUCAUAAAAUUGGUAACAUUUGACAGUAACUGCGUAAUUUGAGUCAUUAAAUGGUUAUAGCAUCAGAUAGGGAUUAAGGGUUAGGAUUCAAACUGAAGUUCAGAACUAACAAGAAGAGAAAUCUACUCAAUAUAUGAUAAAACCACUUCAAUAAAAUUAGAUGAAAACCAGGUUUCACAUUUGCAAGAAAGCGAGACAUUGAACAGGAACUAUAAAUAUGCUUUCUCCUACUGGGAAAACUCGACAAAACAGAACAUAAUUGUAGUCCUGCAAGAGCACUAGAGUAUCAGGAAGCUUUAUCUUUUUACAGCUCCAAUUCCACAAGUGAAGUACUAGAUCUUUUUUCUUUUUUCUUUCUUUUUGGUAUUUGAUUUGUUUUUUGGAAACAAAAUUAUAGACUUAAGAAAUUACAUAGUCCAAAAAAAUGCUUAGAAUAUAUGACAAGAAAAGUAAUUUAACAAUUCUUGGUUAAAGAAAAUGUUUAGACUCCCCAAAUAGUAAGGAUGGUCAAGAAGCAAUAAAUAAGAAACAAUAACAAACAGGUCUGCAGUCUCUUUUUUUUUUUUUUUUUUGAUAAGGAAUGGUCAAGAAGCAAUAAAUAAGAAACAAUAACAAACAGGUCUGCAGUCUCUUUUUUUUUUUUUCUUUUUUGAUAAGGAAAAAUGGAUCCAAAUGAUUUCGGGGGAUUAACAGGUCCUGCAGUGUUUGGAAAAGCCAAAUUAUCAGAAGGUUAGUUAUUGAGUUGGAUAGUACUCAUUCCGUCAAACUUAACAUUAACUAGAAUUUGUUGCACAAAUUAAUGGUUGGAGAAACCAAUUAGGAGAGACCGUGAUAGUUAUUAAGUUUACUGGGGCCUCAAUUAUGAACCUAUUUCCGAGGUUUAUGCACCUAUUUCCGAGGUUUAUACUCUCUCGGUCCUAUAAUUUCAAUAGCAUCCAUUGUUUUUUAACUUGAUCAAUUUUUAGUCUAAUACUAGAUCAAUUUAUGUACUCAAAAUACAUGAAUAUUUUUAAUAACUUACAAUUAUUUCCAGCUAAUUUUCUUGGCAAACUCUUGGGAAUCGAAAAGGAAAACGAUUAUGGAAUGGAAGGAAUAUCUUCCUUUUUCUUUUUCAAUCAAAGGAAGAACGUUUUGAUAUUUAUUGAUGAAAAAGUACUAUCAAUCCUAACUCAGAGUUAAUACCGACUAAAUGAUACCACAUUGCUAGAAACAAUCAAGAAUGUCAUUUUGAGAUAGAUCCAAAAUAUUUGCUAAACAUCAAAAAACAUUUGAAAGACUUUCAUAACUGUAAUUCCCCGUAAUUAAUAAAUCCCCAAUGAAGCAACAAUGCCAAAAGACCACGCAGCAUUCUUCCGGUAAAAGCCAAAACCACUUAAUGUAAAUUACUUUUUGCCCUUAAUCGAUCUACUAUAAAAGCAAAUUAUUAGAUGAAAC
rnacentral:lncRNA from 1 species